GGGUCUUAAAGCCUGGUUUGAGAGAUCUUAAGGGGGCUAACCAAAAGUUUGGAUUAUGAUUAAGUCCAAGGGGUGAGAGUAUGUGAGGCAUAAGUGUAUAUGGGCUUGAUGAGUGCUUUCAUAUAUGGAUUAACCUAGAAAGUUUUUUGAGCUCAGAUUAUUUGAUCCAUUAUAUUGGUAUAUAUACAUGUCUUGUAAUACCAAGGAAUAGUGGAAUCAUAAGAAGAGCUUUUUCUCUAG
rnacentral:lncRNA from 1 species